UACAGAGGUGCCGAGCGUUAGGCGGAAUCACUGGGCUUAAAGCGUGUGUAGGCGGAUGCCUAAGUACCUUGUGAAAUCCCAUAGCUCAACUAUGGAACUGCUUGGUAUACUGGGUGUCUUGAGCCACUUAGGGGUUACCGGAACAAAUGGUGGAGCGGUGAAAUGCGUAGAUAUCAUUUGGAACGCCAAUGGUGAAAACAGGUAACUGGGAGUGUGCUGACGCUGAGACACGAAAGCCAGGGGAGCGAACGGG
rnacentral:rRNA from 2 species